GGGGUUGUGGCUCAGAGGUAGAGCACUCACCUAGCAUGUGUGAGGCACUGUGUUCAAUCCUCAGCACCA
rnacentral:tRNA from 1 species